GAUGAACGCUGGCGGCGUGCCUAAUACAUGCAAGUCGAGCGAACGGACGAGAAGCUUGCUUCUCUUAUGUUAGCGGCGGACGGGUGAGUAACACGUGGAGAACCUACCUAUAAGACUGGGAUAACUUCGGGAAACCGGAGCUAAUACCGCAUGAUAUUUUUAACCGCAUGGUUCAAGAUUGAAAGACGGUCUUGCUUUCACUUAUGGAUAUAUCCGCGUUUAAUUAGCUAGUUGGUAAGGUAACGGCUUACCAAGCGAACGUUGAUUAGCGGACCUGGGAGGGGGACCGCCACAACUGGAACUGAGCCACGGUCAAAACUCUUACGGGAGGAACCAGAAGGGAAUCUUGCGCAAAGGGCGAAAGCCUGCCGGAGCAACGCCGCGUGAGUGAUGAAGGUCUCCGGAUCGUAAACCUCUGUGAUAAGGGAAGAACAUAGGUGUAAGUAAAUGUGCAUAUAGUGACGGUACCUACUCAGAAAGCCACGGCUAACUACGUG
rnacentral:rRNA from 1 species